rnacentral:misc_RNA from 1 species
UUUGAAAUUCAAGGUUCUAAUGCCUUAAAUUCCACGCUUCCUAGCCUUCAGCUUUUAGCUUAGGAAGGUGUGGUAUAUAUAGAAAUAGUUUCAAAGCUUGGAAAUGCCUUUGAAUCUUCCAUUUGUAUCACAUCCCUGCUUGACGAUUUCUUCAAUCUCCUCGCAUUACAUUAGGCAAAUAAUUUCUGCUUUGGAAGUUGUAUAAGCAAUGACAAAUAUUUUUACGGAACCAAGAUUUUGCAGACAUUCCUGAGUCCCAGGAUUCUUCCACACUAUUGCUAUGCUAAGCGUGGAAGGCCAUGCAAGGCAAGAGCUUCCAGGGUAGGAAGCCAAUUGUUUUAGAAUUAUAUAGUAUACAGUAUAUAAUAACAACAAUGUUGUCAUUAUAUUUGGACAAAGUGAUGAAAUAUACAAACAAACAAACAAAAUGUAUCCGCACAAAUACUUGUAUUUCAGGCGUGAAUGGGCUCCUCAUGUUUCUAAAUGGCAAUUCAAAAUAGAGCCAAGCAAGGGAAGAAAUAUAAAAGAUGAGGCCUAUAUUGUGAGGUAAGUUCUUAUCAUAGUUGCUCCAGUUGGAUCAGAAAAUAGAUGCCUAACAAGGCACAUUCUCAUAUCAUUCGGUGCAGUAAAAAACAUAUAGAAGGCAAACAGUAUCAGAUCAGCUGAGGACAGAUUCGAACCAAGGAAUCCCUGCCACAUCCUGCACAAAGAUACAUAUACCAGUUGUUCCAAGGUAAAGGUGCAAAGCUUGUAGUUAUGUAUUUAUUUACAUGCCUAUGCUCACAGUGAUGCAAUUAUCAUAUCAUCGAUUAGAAUUUGUAAAAUCUCCAGCAGUCCAGCUAUUAUGCUUGUUAGGGACUUGUUUUCACUGAAUGCAUGUCAGAAGAUGCUUCACUGUUUCAUCCUUUAUUGUCUGCACUAGUUUCCCUUAACCAUCCCAUUUCCAUGUUUAUUUGGGAACCAGAUUCCUCUGAACUGGCUUUACAAGAUAAUGAACCACUGUUUGAAUAAGAGGUUUUUACCACACACAAGGCACAUAUGGUUUAAUUAUCUAGUAUGUGCAUUUCAAGAUCAAAACCUUCCUAACCUUACUUUUUUUAUAUGAAAAGAAGCCUCUGCAUACAAAUAUACAGUAAACUGAAGGCAUAUAACUGGUAAAUACAGACAACUGAGAGAAGAAUAAAGAUAAAAGAAAUUUAAACCAUACCAAUUGGGUAAGCGGAAGAAAGUAUGGAAGAAUGUCCUAAUGCCAUCAAUAUCCAGUUGCAGUAUAAGUGCCAGUCCAAAGAGAAAGAAUGCCCUUUGACGUUUCCUUUCUUGUGGCCAAAGAGUAUUCCAAGCUUGCAUUGAGAUGUUUGCAUUAAUUCUUUUACGAGUAAGCUUGCCCUUAGAAUGGUCCUGUUUCAAUAUGUUUGCAAUUACAGAAGCAUAAUUUGGAGCCUCUGACAAUGACCUCACCACAGAAUAGCCUGUGGCUGGGUGCACCAUGCUAGCAGCAGCACCAAAUGCAAGGUUCUUUUGCUCAGUAUUAGGCAAGGAACCACCAACUGGAAUAUAUGACCAUUCCUCUUCAUAGGUUUUCAAAAUUCGGAUUCCCAUCGUCUCUAACCUUGACAUGAGUUUCCUCUUUAACAAGUCAAAAGGCAUAGCAUCUUUGGAGGCCAAACAAGUUUCCUCAAAAAAAACUCUUGUUGAAGACAUGGGCAUGGCAUAAAGAAAUGUUGGAUAUUCAGAUUCUAAACAAGGAACUUUCUGUUUCAUGUAGUCUCUGUAAUCCAUGAAGACCAUCAAACUAGGAUCAUAUGGAUUGUUUUCCACCUCGGCCUCCACAUCAUAAGCUGUUUGGACAGAAACCCGAGGACCCCCCACUUCAAACUGCAAUAGUUUUCCCGAAGCUGCCCCAGAUGCAACAGUGGCAAGCCUACAAUAAUAUAUUAGGAACUUGACGCGGGAUUUAAACUUGAACUCAUUUGUACUAUUGUGAGAAAAGCUUAAAUUGAGGAUAUCACAUUUCACCUGCAGGAAAUAACAUAUCAGGUUCACAUGCUACAAGACUAUGACCAUCAGCAGCUUCAGUGAUUCUAAGAUACCAAACACCUGACUCGACACACCUAGAGGAAAUUAAUACAGAUUAUAUAUUUAUAGAAUACCACUUUUCCACAUCAAAUGAGAUAAACAACAAAUGCAAUAACUGAAGUCUAGCCACUCUUACCUCCUCAACAACUCUUGAUGGAACAAAUGCCCACUAACUCGUCCAUAGGCACUACCAAUAAGAACAGGAUCAUCGUCAUCAAGAUAUACUAUUGUAUCCCGCCAUACGUGCUCAAUGCAUCCUUCAAGCCCAAGAUCUGAAAAACAAAAUAAAUUAUAUUAAAUUCCACUUAGAUAUUAAGGGAUAUUAAUGCAGGCAGGGAAUGUAGUAACGUAAAACUUUCCAGUAGUCAUGAAAGGAGCAAACUCAGGGAACUAAAAUUUAAAAAUAAGAAAAAGAUGUGGAAAGAUUAUUAUUAUAUAAGGGUAGGGUUCCAAAUAGGCAAAAAUGUUAAUUUAAAAAUUGGAAACAGAGAGAAUUUCUUAUCCCAUUUGCAAUUGAUAAAGUGAUUCCAGAAAGGGGCCAAAAACGUUGCCUUUAAACUCAUCCUCCCAGACGCCAUAAUUGUUGGUAAAAGGAAGAUCAGGACUUAUGAGUCCAACACUUAAUCCCAACUUAGCUGAUUCUGCAGCGAGAGCCAGACCAGCUGGACCGCAGCCAAUAACCACCAAAUCCAAUACAUCAUCUCCAAUUGGUAUUGGCAGUAACUGCACAACAUCAGCGGCAACAAGGAAGAAUAAAACAACACGCCAUGUCCUUUCAAAUUAAGUACCUUCGAGAGAGCGAGAGAAAGAAACCUUAUCGGCGAGAUUAGACUGUUUCUCCAUGGCCUUGUCCUGCUGCAUUUGAACAAAACAAGUUCGGAGCCACCAGCCUUUACAUAAUCUUCUUCAUCAGCAAAUUCUUCUUUAAUGGCCACACAACUAUAGCUCCCUGCAAUGCUUGCUUUCACUUGAUAGAAACGACAUCGUUUCUCUGAAAGACCCCCGCGUUUAGUUGUUCUCAGUGUUCUUCUCCUGGACCUUCCCGAAGGGCAUGAAAACACCGCCAUUGCUGCGAAAUUUCGAGCUCCUAGACACUCCAUUUUGGACUUUUUCUUUUAGGUAUUAUAGUCGGAAACUACUUCUUUCCUUUCUGAAUAGAAAAGAAAAGAAAAGGUUUUGGUUUCACUCCAUUUCUACUGUUCACUAGCUCCAAAAAGUAAAGAUCAGGAUCAUGCGUGAAGGUGAGCUCCGUGUUGAAAGCAGAAACUGAAACCUGAGAAGUGAGAAGUAGUGAGAAG